rnacentral:rRNA from 1 species
CCUACGGGAGGCAGCAGUGGGGAAUAUUGGACAAUGGGGGGAACCCUGAUCCAGCCAUGCCGCGUGUGUGAAGAAGGCCCUCGGGUUGUAAAGCACUUUCAGUGAGGAAGAACGCCUGGUGGUUAAUACCCAUCAGGAAAGACAUCACUCACAGAAGAAGCACCGGCUAACUCCGUGCCAGCAGCCGCGGUAAUACGGAGGGUGCGAGCGUUAAUCGGAAUUACUGGGCGUAAAGCGCGCGUAGGUGGCUUGAUAAGCCGGUUGUGAAAGCCCCGGGCUCAACCUGGGAACGGCAUCCGGAACUGUCAAGCUAGAGUGCAGGAGAGGAAGGUAGAAUUCCCGGUGUAGCGGUGAAAUGCGUAGAGAUCGGGAGGAAUACCGGUGGCGAAGGCGGCCUUCUGGACUGACACUGACACUGAGGUGCGAAAGCGUGGGUAGCAAACAGGAUUAGAUACCCGGGUAGUC